AUGAAAAUGUAAACAACAAAGAUCGGGCCCCGGUUCCGGACCCAGCGUACCCGCCCUACCAUGAGACGAUCACCUCCACUCGUCUCCCUCAUUUUGGCCACUAAAUGGCCUAUAUUAGCCCGUGUCGGCCAUACUGCCCACUCUCCCCAACAAUAUUAUUUUAGCCGGACAUGAUUUCUUUCACUAGCUGUUUAGGAUCUCAUGCAAGCGGAUAAUUCAUUAACUUCACAGGUGCGUAUAAUGGUUUGUGUAUUCUUAUAAUUAUUGGCAUUAAUAUUUCUUUUAUUUCUUUCCAAUUCGCACGAGGUCUCUAUUCAGGUAAAUUCGUAUUCAUGCACGUGAACAUUUCUUCUCCAGAAUUUAUUUUUUUAUUUUUUUACAACACUGAAUGGAACAGGCGACGAAAUACUACAAGGAUAUUGUUAGUCGCCGCAAUAGAAACGCGCAAGGAGGCACUUUAGAGGCAAUCGUUGCGCCGAUUUAGGAACAAUGGCCCACCCAAUUACUUAAAACUGGAGCUCUCUGGGGGUGGUAAGGGGCGAUAUAAAUGCG